AUUCACUACCAUCCCUACCUGCAGUUCGUUGCACUUGCGGCGCCACGGGCCACGGUCUGCGCGCGACGUGAGAUGCCGGGGCCUGUUGCAGUGCAGCUUUAGGGUUGUUUUCGCGAGAUUAAGGUGGCCAUUGUCAUGCACAUACACUCGCUGGCUGGCAUGACAGUGAUGCUUGGUCUCGUCACUUCGGCGACCUACUAACCCACAAGCAAAUUCGGCUGUUUGUUCCGGGGAGAGAUUCGUGGGCACGCACGCAGAGAGGGCAGCAGGUCGGCGUCGCAAAGUCCAAACGCAAGACGUCUCGCUCGCUCGGUCCAGACACCAGGCUCGCGCCAUGGUGUCGACAUCGUCGCUCCACGCUCGGAGGCCGGAAGCCCCCGGGUCGCCGAAUCCCCCUCGCGGGCGGGCCGCUGGCCCCAGGGGCCCACCGCGUACUCCCGAGACUGCCCGAGCUGGCCCACCGCUCGCCGCGCGGGGGUGACGACAUCCUCGCCGCCACGCCGUGCGCCCGACGUGGAGCGGUGGGGGGCGCCUGCCUGCCUGCCUGCGGCGGCGGGGCUCUCCCAUCCUCCCUCCCUCUCCCCCCGCCUCCGCCCGCGCGUAUAAAAUGGUCGAGUGAGAUCGCACGAGCACGCGGACUGUUCGAGAAGGGGGUACUUGUUUUCGCAUCAGCAGAAGAAAUCCGCGGCGGCGAUGCCGUUCCUCGAGGAAAUGAUGGAAUCGUCGUACGUGCCUUACCUCCGCACGCACCUCCAGCAGAUAGCAGCGUCGUUGUCCACGGCGAGCUGCGCCCCGCCUGGCGCCGAGGAGGAGGAGUGCCGCGACGAGGCGGCGGCGCUCGGGCUCAAGAUGGUGGCCGUCGCGGCCAUCCUCGUUUCCGGUGCGACGGGCGUCGCGAUCCCGCUCCUCGGCCGCCGCUGGCGCGGGCGGGGCGUCGGCGGGGCGCCGCCGUCCUCGUCGUCCUCCACCGGCGGCCUGUUCGUGCUCGCCAAGGCGUUCGCGGCGGGGGUGAUCCUGGCCACGGGGUUCGUGCAUGUGCUGGACGACGCCAACGACGCGCUCACGGACCCCUGCCUCCCGGCCGUGCCCUGGCGCCGGUUCCCGUUCCCGGGGUUCGUCGCCAUGCUCGCCGCGCUCGGGACGCUCGUCGUCGACUUCGUCGGCACGCACAUGUACGAGCAAAAGCACCGUAGCGAGGAGGAACAGGCCGCCGCCGCCAAUGGCAGCUCCCGAGAGGAGAUCGUGGCGGCGCUGCUCGAGGACGGCGCGCUCGCGGCGAGGGGCGACGUCGAAGGGAGGGACGGGGGAGGCCACAAGGAGGACGCCAUGCACAUCGUCGGGAUGCGCGCGCACGCCGCCGCGCACAGGCACAGACACGCGCACGGGCGCGGCUCGUGCCAUGGAGGAACGUCGUACGACAGCCACGGCCAUGGCCAUGGACACGAUGAAGAGCCUUCUCAGGCUCGCCACGUUGUUGUCUCACAGGUUCUCGAGCUUGGGAUUGUAUCGCACUCGGUGAUCAUUGGCCUAUCGUUGGGUGUUUCGCAGAGCCCCUGUACCAUCAGACCUCUGGUCGCUGCCCUCUCCUUCCACCAGUUCUUUGAGGGCUUUGCAUUGGGUGGCUGCAUUUCUGAGGCUCAGUUCAAGAGUUCCUCUGCACUCCUGAUGGCCAUCUUCUUCGCCAUCACAACACCUGCCGGGAUCACUAUGGGGGCAGGUGUCUCGUCGUUCUACAACCCCAACAGCCCGAGGGCGCUGGUGGUGGAGGGCAUCCUGGAUUCCAUGUCGGCCGGUAUACUGAUCUACAUGGCCUUGGUGGACCUCAUUGCUGCUGAUUUCCUCAGCAAAAGGAUGAGCUGCAACCCGAGACUGCAAGUUGGUUCCUACAUUGCGCUGUUCCUUGGUGCUAUGUCCAUGUCGUCUCUUGCCAUCUGGGCUUAGUCAGGAGGAUGCAAGUGAAGCAAAUACUUGAGAGGACCUGCUUAAUUGAAUUCCAUAGCUGCAGGUCUGGUGAAUAUGGGUGUUGCAUCCUCAUCACUUUUUGGUUCAGUCAGUGACUGGAUAGAAUCCACUUGCCAUUUUCAGAUAUCAAUUCAUGGAUCAAUGUCGAUACCAAAUGCUGAUUGUCCAUGAUGGGCCCAUGGACUUGUGAAGCUUGUUCGCCAACAAGUCGAAGAGGCAGGCAGUGCCAGCUAUGGUGAUACCAUCUGUGUUCAUUGUUCACUGAAUUGUCCAGGAAUCCUGUGAGGCCGGGAGGGAGAUCCAUUACCAUUACCUGCCGGGGAAGUCUGAUGACUGUUUGAUUAGUUGUGACCUGCAAAUCUGCCUCAGAAAUCUGUCUUGACAUUUGGAGGGACUCAAGCAUAAGUGGAUUGUCAGGUAAAACGGUUCUUAUCGUCUAGUUCCUCACAUCAAAGUGUAGAUGAGGAUGAAACAGGCAGGGUUUCUUCUGAUUUGUGCUCUCCCAGUUCUUGAACUGCAAAACUAGAUGACAUAUACUACUUAGCCAUCAUGUUUAUUACCUGGUCACAUGUCCUUUACUUAAUACUUCAACUGCAGAAUGAAACGGCAUCCUUACUCAUACAUAUCCUGUACCUAAAGGCAAUGGCUUCCGACGGAUAGAGACAGAGUAGGGAGGAGCUCCAAUGGAAUAUAGACUCCAACGAGUCUCUGAAGGCCCAGUGAACAGCAUGAUACGACUGCCACUUGAUCAGGUCAGGGCGUCAGGCAGACGAAUCCGUCUCGCCGUCUGCUCUACCAGUUGUGGCAACUUUGUCAAACAGCGAGAGGGUCUCUCUGCAGUGUUUCAGUGGCUGCCCGUGGAGGAAUCUGCGCUCCCGAUGUCCUGGCAAGCACGGGCGCACGGGCGCAUUGCACGGUGGUGUGUCAGUAUCAUUAGACAGGGAAUACGGGAGCCUGCCAUCAUGGACGUCAAGGACUUGGGUGUGCUGUGUGCUCGAGCAGCGCAGAGAUGGAUUCGUUUCUGAAAGAUUUUGACGUGGCCAUGGCAUUUGGUUUUGAAAACUGGAAGAGCCAGCAGAUGAAGCAUUCCUGCCUCCAUUAGCAACGCUUAGCAAUUGGAUGAGAAAACAAAUUGCCUUGCUUCAUCCAAGUUUGUCAUCACAAUUUGUACUUUUUCUAACUGUUGAAGGGGCGCUAUCAUGAAAUUGGUUGCUCCUGCAAGUUGCUAGAGGUGAUGAUGACUGUAUGUCUUCAAGUAGAUGUGGCCUGCAGAGUAUCUACAAAUGGCACGUGAAGAAGGGUCAUCGGGCAAUCUUUCCUGCCACAAGCUCCCUGAAGACCAAAUCCUGCAAGGCCCGUAGAGUAUGAUGUGUUCUUCAGAUGAAAGUCCUGUGCUGCUAUUUCAGUUACCAUCUUUCACUAGUGCUCCAUGGACGCUACGGAUCUGUUUGAUCAAAUGGGACUUGCGAGUUGCUUGGGGGAGAUUCCUCUCUCCGUUUGGAGACAAAUCCGACCUGAGUGCAUUGUCAGAGGCUACUGAACCUUUUAUCAGGUUCGCAUUGCAGUCAAACAGGUAAUGAAUCUCCAAGGAUGAAGACGGAGCAGAGAGAGGCAGUAGCACUGAACUCUCAAGGCAGGACUCGGGUCGGGAGUCGGGACGAGGCAGUGACAACAAAACGACAUGACGUGGCUGCACCCAGGACAAAACGAAGAAUCUGGCACGCCGUGGUCUAUGGUUGUUGGCAAGUUGCUGAGACAGAUCAGGGCAAACAAUGGGCAUGCAGGCGUGAGCUCUGCGUGGAUCGGAGGAAUAUUCUUCGCCAUCUGACCGACCCAGAGCAACCACUACUAUAUAAAUGAUAGGCAGCAACGCUUCAUUUUUUUUAUUUUUCCAAGCACCGGUCAAAAGGUAAUCCGUGGUUACAGUUGACCCGCUCCUGAAAAAUAGUUGAUCUGCACCUGAAAAAUAUUUUUAGCGUCACCCGUCCUGAAAAUAAGCCCUAUUUUCAGAAGCAGGUGAUGGCGUCGUGCGCCUUUAAAAAUAAAAUUGUUAGGGGCAGGUGGCGCUGUUAUCCGCCUUAAAACUAGAGCUCAUUUUUAAGGACAAGUGAUGACGCCACCUACCCUUGGAAAUGUAUUUUUAGAGAUGGUUAACAUCAUCAUCCGCCUCUAAUACCUAUAAAAAUUUAGGUACUAUCUUU